UAUCGCACUUUUGGAAUUUGAUUUUGUAAAUGCAAAAAAAUAAAUAUAAGUAAAGCCCGUAACUGGGACCAUGAUCUGUUAUUAUAUAAAGAUCCAUAGGUUGUCUUAUCAUUACUGAACGUAAAGUCUCAGACUUGUCAUUUGCGUAUGUAGUUGGGGUGACCAGCAACUCCUGGGUGUUGAUUAUUCUUUUUUUAUGAAUCCACUCCAUAUAAAAAUUUCUGUUAGUUUCAUAAGCAAUCAUUGUCAUGUCGACGCGCCAAACUUUGCAAGCGGUAUCAAUAAAUCCAUACUGCGUGAACAAUUCAUCAGCGGCAAAGUUUCCGAAGGAGUUGAAUAUUUCGGACAUCUUUCGUAUAUACUGAAAAGAAAUAAAUUCUAUUUUGAUAUCGCCUUUAUGAUCAUUUGACUCCUGACAAUGUAGCGAAGCAAUAGCUGGACCAGACUUGUGAUUAAAAAUAUCGAAAAAGGGUAUUAAAGAUAAACCGUAGUAGCUGUUAACGUAAAAACACCUGCUUUGGACGAGAACACAAGUCUCUAAAUACUGAUUCCAUUUUGGACAAAGCUGUUUGAGAUCAGCAUGUUUAUAAAAGUAAGGGCGGACCAAUUGAUCAUAUUGAUUUUUGUAUACUCUUAAAUUUGUAUUUAUUACAUCAAGCAUUGAGGUUCCCUCAAGACACGUUUUAUCUUUCCAUAAUAAUGGGGAAUCAGGCAUACAAGUUUCGUCCAAGGUGUUUAAAUAAGCGUUCCACGGACUAUCUGUUAUAUUUUCCAAUAUUACAGUUAUAACGAGCAUGACCAGCCCAACCUGAUCUCUAUUGUCAAAGUUAAUAUCAUCAGACCGAUUAGAUUCAUUAAAAUGUGUAUACAACGAAUCUCCAAAUCUUGAGUUGCGAGGACUCAGAAUGAUCCUUCUAGGAAUCUUUGCUAAAACUUCAAGUUCAUCUAUAUCAAAGGUAGAAAAUAUACCAUCUCCUGCGACCCCACUUGAAGCGAUAUACAGUUUGGGUGAAAUGUAAGCUUCGUGUUUUGCUAGCCAUUCAAGUAAGGGUUGGUACUUCAAAAAUUGCUUGGAAUUGUUCAUGCUUUAUUUAACAU